rnacentral:rRNA from 1 species
AGCGAACGCUGGCGGCAGGCCUAACACAUGCAAGUCGAACGAACCUUUCGGGGUUAGUGGCGGACGGGGGAGUAACACGUGGGAACGUGCCUUUAGGUUCGGAAUAACUCAGGGAAACUUGUGCUAAUACCGAAUGUGCCCUUCGGGGGAAAGAUCUAUCGCCUUUAGAGCGGCCCGCGUCUGAUUAGCUAGUUGGUUGAGGUAAUGGCUCACCAAGGCGACGAUCAGUAGCUGGUCUGAGAGGAUGAUCAGCCACACUGGGACUGAGACACGGCCCAAACUCCUACGGGAGGCAGCAGUGGGGAAUCUUGCGCAAUGGGCGAAAGCCUGACGCAGCCAUGCCGCGUGAAUGAUGAAGGUCUUAGGAUUGUAAAAUUCUUUCACCGGGGACGAUAAUGACGGUACCCGGAGAAGAAGCCCCGGCUAACUUCGUG